rnacentral:lncRNA from 1 species
AGGGAGACGCGGCGGUAACCUGGACCUUAAAAGUUUGUUGUCGUUAGGGAAUAGGUGGGAAUAUGGUUGUGGGAUUAAUGAAACACAGUACCAAAGAGAUUCCAGAAAGAGAACUGGUGUAGGAAUAGGGCCUGCAUGGGAGGAGUUCAAAGAUGCUUCUUGGAGGGAGCCGAUAACCCGCGGGUGGAGCCUACCCGAGACAGGGCAUCACUGUGUUGCCAAGGCUGGUCUUGAACUGGCUCAAGCAAUCUGCCCACCUCGGUCUCCCAAAGUGCUGGGAUUACAGGAGUGAGCCACUGCGCCCUGCCUGAAUUUAUGAUUUAUGAAUAUGCCUGUUAACAAAUCACCUAUGAUUAAUACAUGUGGAGGCAUAUCUUCCCCUUAUCAUGAAGAGCUCUGGAAAUUAAAUUUUCAACAUUUAAGUGGAGAAAGGGGUCAUAAAUCAAGAUUAUUUCCUUGGGAUAAAGUUUCUACAAUGAGUGCAAGAGCAAUUGAAAAGAACUUUCACAAAGACUUUACAGUCACAAAUAAUAUACUUUUUCUAGU